CUACGGGGGGCUGCAGUGGGGAAUAUUGCACAAUGGGCGAAAGCCUGAUGCAGCAACGCCGCGUGGAGGAUGACACAUUUCGGUGCGUAAACUCCUUUUAUAUAGGAAGAUAAUGACGGUACUAUAUGAAUAAGCGCCGGCUAACUCCGUGCCAGCAGCCGCGGUAAUACGGGGGGCGCAAGCGUUACUCGGAAUCACUGGGCGUAAAGAGCGUGUAGGCGGAUAGAUAAGUUGGGAGUGAAAUCCUAUGGCUCAACCAUAGAACUGCUUCCAAAACUGUCUAUCUAGAGUAUGGGAGAGGUAGAUGGAAUUUCUGGUGUAGGGGUAAAAUCCGUAGAGAUCAGAAGGAAUACCGAUUGCGAAGGCGAUCUACUGGAACAUUACUGACGCUGAGACGCGAAUGCGUGGGGAGCAAACAGGAUUAGAUACCCUGGUAGUC
rnacentral:rRNA from 1 species